rnacentral:rRNA from 1 species
CCCCUAGAUGUUCUGGGCCGCACGCGCGCUACACUGAACAGUUCAACAAGUCUUAACCUUGGCCGAUAGGUCUGGGUAAUCUUUGAACGCUGUUCGUGAUUGGGAUAGACCUUUGCAAUUAUGGGUCUUCAACGAGGAAUUCCUAGUAAACGCAAGUCAUCAGCUUGCAUUGAUUACGUCCCUGCCCUUUGUACACACCGCCCGUCGCUCCUACCGAUUGAAUGAUCCGGUGAAAUCUUUGGAGUGGAACUUGGUUGUCACCAUUGGUGCGCCUCGUACUGCGAAGUUGCUUAAACCUUAUCAUUUAGAGGAAGGAGAAGUCGUAACA